rnacentral:rRNA from 1 species
GACGAACGCUGGCGGCGUGCCUAAUACAUGCAAGUCGAGCGGACAGAAGGGAGCUUGCUCCCGGAAGUUAGCGGCGGACGGGUGAGUAACACGUGGGCAACCUACCCUGUAGAUCGGGAUAACAUCGAGAAAUCGGUGCUAAUACCGGAUAAUCAUUUGAAGUGCAUGCUUCGAAUGUAAAAGAUGGCUCCGGCUAUCACUACGGGAUGGGCCCGCGGCGCAUUAGCUAGUUGGUAAGGUAAUGGCUUACCAAGGCAACGAUGCGUAGCCGACCUGAGGGGGUGACCGGCCACACUGGGACUGAGACACGGCGCAGACUGCUACGGGAGGCAGCAGUAGGGAAUCUUCCGCAAUGGACGAAAGUCUGACGGAGCAACGCCGCGUGAGUGAUGAAGGUCUUCGGAUCGUAAAGCUCUGUUGUUAGGGAAGAACAAGUGCCGUUUGAAUAAGGCGGCACCUUGACGGUACCUAACCAGAAAGCCACGGCUAACUACGUGCCAGCCGCCGCCGUAACAC